AAGAAAGUUCAUCAAUAGCAGAACUUGGAAGAAUUGCAAGAAGUAAAAUGACAACAUGAGAUGAGAACGAUCUGCACUUUACCUGAAUCCAUUGCUGCCAAGCACCGGUAGUAGCCAUCAGUCCAAGUAUCAUCUCUGGGCCUAUUUGAAGCGAUUGCUGCUACGGUGACAACGCUACAAAUUGCUUUCUGCGUGUCAUUAUCCUUAACAUCGAGAUGUUCAACAAUCUUCUCUAUCAUGUUUGAGAUCUCAUAGGUGCAGUUACCACACUGAUUGAUGAAACUUGGCACAUCAAACCGUGAACAACUCGUGAUGACAGAAUCAAAUUGCUGGCCAUAAUUACUCCUAAUGGAAGCGAGACUGAGGUUUGAACAACUGCCAUUAUCUUGAUGUAACAAAUCAAAUUUACAUGAAUCUAUGGAGAGAUUAUAUUGCAUGUUAAAGCGAGAUGUGCAGUUAUCCCAUUGCUGUUUGUCGAGAAGGAUUGCUUGGGCUUGUGAGGCCGAACGAGCUAGAGCUUUUGAGAAGAAGUAUAGGACACUGCGACAGCAUUGGGUGGUUCUCACAUUGUCCCAAACCAUCACUUCAUGAUCAUCAGGGUGAACGCAUUCCCCGACCGGUUGAUAAGGGAAUGCAUCAAAGUCCAGAGUGCAAGCUGAUGUCAAGAACAACAAGUCAGUAAAGAGAACUACAGAAGCACUUGAAUUAGGCAAACAAAAGCAGGUCAGCGCAAUAGAGGAUUAAAACUACACUGUACUGCCAAAGACCUGUUGAAUUUGUUGAGCUGAGGAAGAGGGAGAGGAUUGUGAGAAGCACUGCAACAACCUUCAUCCUUGUUUAGGAAGUUGUUUCUGGAGAUGGAAUUAAAAGAGGGAAUGACGUGCAUGCUUUGAUUUAGCUGUGUCAUCGAGGGGAUCGCUAAUCCUCAUUGUUUAAUGCACAAGAUCUGUUGAUUUCUUCCCUGAAGCUUUGAUGUAAACGACUUGAUUUGGAUGUGUUUGGACUGAUACAAGAAGGUUGAAAGAGACACAUUUGGCUUCAA